rnacentral:rRNA from 1 species
UACAGAGGUGGCAAGCGUUGUUCGGAAUUACUGGGCGUAGAGGGCGCGUAGGCGGCCUACUAAGUCAGACGUGAAAUCCCCCGGCUUAACCUGGGAACUGCGUCUGAUACUGGAAGGCUUGAGGAUGGGAGAGGGAUGUAGAAUUCCAGGUGUAGCGGUGAAAUGCGUAGAUAUCUGGAGGAAUACCGGUGGCGAAGGCGGCAUCCUGGACCAUUACUGACGCUGAGGCGCGAAAGCUAGGGGAGCAAACGGG